rnacentral:tRNA from 3 species
ACGGGGGUGGCUGAGCAUGGUUAAAGGCGCCGGGCUUAAGAUCCGGUCCAGAUGGUUCGAGGGUUCGAAUCCCUCCCCCCGUA